GGCGCUGACAGAGGGAUGGAGGCACUGGAUAGUGGUCCUUUGGAGGCAGCACAUUGUAUUCACGGUGCUCUUUCCAGAAGAUCAGGGAGGAAGAAAAAUCCAAGGAAGUUACAGGAAGGAAAGUGAUCAGACUCCUUUGGCCACUUGGACUUUUUCAACAGCUGUCCGUGACAGGGCUAGUUCUUGCCUGGAGCCACGGUGGAUGCGGCUGUGUUCUAAGCACGUGUGCCAUGCCCAGAUGGGGACUGCAGAGAAGAGCAGAGGGAGGAAGUGCUCUGGGGCGACUCGCUUCAAUAACCUGGGCCCGCACCUCCGCCAGCACCGACUAAGGGAACACACAGACCCCAUCGUCAUCCCAGCAAUCCAAGUUCGGUGCUGGGGAAGCAUCAGCAGGAGGAGGGAAUUGCGGGUCCUUCGCUGCUCCUUACCAACCAGACUGAGCAGCUGGGUGUGGAAAGGAAGCUUCUUGGCCAACUCUGCCCAGAGAAAGGAGUCCCGUGGCUUCCAGCCAGGGAUCCCAUUGCUCCAGUUGCUUGAGUCCAGGCUGGGUCUCAGGAUGUCUACCACUGGGCAGUUUUACUUUGGUGCUCAUUUCCCAUCUACCACAGCCUGGAAGAAGCGGGUACCAUUCUCCUCUCCUGGCCCCUAGCUUCCCAGCUCCCAAAUUCACGACUGUGCGGAUGUGGCCCCACCUGCCUCCAGACCCAUGACCCUUGCUUCAAGACCCCGGCCAUGCUGACCUCCCUCCUGACUGUCCACAGAGCCCGCUGCAUGGCUUUGGGGCUUUACCAUUCCUGUGAGUUCUGCCAUAAAAACCUGUUGCUUGCCUCUGGUUGUUUCUGGUUAUGCUUGUGUUCUAGGCACGAGGAGCAGGGUUGAUGUUCUGAUGUCCCUGCACCAUCUCAACGCCUAGUUGAUGAUGCUGUUCCAGUGAAGGAGUAAGAGAGCAUAUGAGUGAGUCAGGGAGCUUGGACGCCAUUUCCUCCAGAAGGGUUUUCCCCUGGACCAGUGGUUCUCUCCUUGGCUGCCCGCUAGAAUCUCCCUAGGAACUGCUAAAUGCCCUGAUGCCCAGGCCACAUCCUGACCA
rnacentral:lncRNA from 1 species